rnacentral:tRNA from 1 species
GGAGGAGUGGCCGAGUGGUUUAAGGCAGCGGUUUACUAAACCGCCGUCCCUUAAUUGGGACCAUGAGUUCGAAUCUCAUCUCCUCCG